ensembl:lncRNA
GUGUGUCUCUUCCUUUGCUCACACAGUUCCCCUUCGAAUAUCUGAACCCACCUAUUUCACAUUUAUUUAGCUCUAGGUAGGUGGGCAAUUUAGGAGGGGCUCAGCCAGAUACGCUUCUCCUCUGGGCUUGUUUCUCCCACUUGACUGUUGGCUGAUUGAAAACAACCUCAGCUGGUCUAGCACUGCUGGCUGAGCUGGCUGGGACAACUAGGCAUUUGAGCUCUCCUCUGCUGUCUUCUCUAUGGCUCCUUCAGACUAACUCAGGAGUGUUUUUAUGGCCUGGGGAGAGAAUCAGAGUAAACAGGUCAAUCAUGCAAGAAGGGAAGCAGGAAGCACAAGUGCUUUGCAACCUUCCUCUUGGAUCACAUUUGCUAACAUUCUAUUGACCAAAGCAAAAUGUGAGGCCAAGCUUAGAGGCGGGUGGGGGACUAUACAGUUAUAAACACCAGGCAUGGAUAUGGGGAAGUCAUUUAAUGAGGCCAUUAAUACAACUAAUCUACCACCGUCUGCUCUUUAGCCAACAUUGUUCACAAUCCCUCCUACAUGCUAAAUACAUCCAUCACCUGUAAAGGCCUCUCAAAAUCUUAUCCAAGCAUGGCAUCUGGCUCAAAGCCCAUGAUUUUGUGAUCUGUAUCAGAUUAGAUAUGUCUCUUCUUUAUCUUGAGACUUAUGAGCAACUGGAUUAUUGAUAAUAUAAAUAAAUGUGGCCAAGCUCUCUGGCAAGAGCAAUUACUUCACAACCCUUGCCUGGAUGACAAAAAUUAUAAGAUAGCAUGAACUGUAAGACACAGCCCAAUUUCAGAUAAAGUAAAAUGUGAGGGGAAAGAGUGUCUUAGAAUUGAUAGAAUAUGGUAAGUUUCUGGACUUGAUCUCAAAUAUUAAGAAAUGCCCAUGGAAUGGAAUCUGGGAAUGGAAUGCUCUCAGGCAAGAAACAACUACAGCUGUCCCUCUGUAUCCACAGGGAUUGGUUCCAGGACCUCCCAGGGAUACCAAAAUCCAUGGACGUUCAAGUCCCUUGCAUAAAACAGCAAAGAAUUUGCAUAUGACCUACACACAUCCUCCCAUUUACUUUAAAUCAUCUCUAGAUUACUUAAAAAUACCCAAUAAAUGCUAUGUGAAUAGCUGCCAGCAAGUGGCAAUUCAAGCUUUGCUUUUUGGAAUUUUCUGGAAAAAAAUUUUUUUUUCAGAAUAUCUUUCAUUCACUGUUGGUUGAAUCCAUGGAUGCAGAACCCACAGAUAAGAAAGGUGACUGGAGAGGUCUUUUUCUGUACUCAAUAAAUGGUCUUCAUAUUUCUUAUUUUGUGAUUAUCCCCACUCAUUCAAGAGAAGGAGAAAAAAUCUGCAAGUGUCUAUUUAAAGGAAAAAAUGGUAUGAGAGAGAGGAAGUAAAGAGCAACUUGGCAACGAAUCUACUGUUUUUAAACAAGUCAAUAUUAAACAAACACAUCAAUUUUUACUCUAUUUUUCUCUUUGUAUACAAUUUUCAAUUAAUCUAUACCUGCCUUUCCAAUGUGUUCUUCAAAUGAGCCAUUUCACUAUAAUUUCUGCACUGUUUCAGUAAAUACAUUUGCAUCCUAGCUCUUCUGCAGUGUUGAUUUAAAAUUAAUGACUUGAGAUUACAGUUACUGACAUAAAACCCUUCUCUGUGGGGACAGAAAAGCACAGUAUAAGCAUCUCCCCUCUUUGUCUAUUUCACAGGACAGUUUAAUGCAGAGUUUUAAGGGAUAGAGACAUUGACGCUCCCUGAGCCUCACUGCUCUCCUGAGUUUACUGUGUCACCAUGAAAAGACAUCUGUGUUCUGAUGCUUUUCCUAGAGCCGCACCAAUCCACCCCCUCUCUAUUUUACAGAGCUUGUGAUGCAUGCAUACCAAGACUCUGCAUAUAGAGCAUAAUUAAAACAGGCUUUCCUCCUGGAAGCCAGAAUGUCCUUUCUAUUGCCAGUCCUUAAGACCAGAGGGUGAGGUCUCAGGAUGCUAAUCCCCUUCUGAAGGGUCCAUCUUGCCAUAAUGAAGCCUGAGAAUGCUUAAGAGAUCACCUCCAGUGCACAUCAUUACCAUCUUCAAUACAAGACACUGGAAAUAGGUUUCAGGCAUCCUGUAAGUUUUAAAUAAAUUCCCACAUGAAUUGGAAAUAAAACUUGCCUUUAGACAUGUAGUCAGGAUUUUGACAUAUUCAGUUCAGUUCAGUUCAGUUCAGUCGCUCAGUCAUACCUGACUCUUUGACACCCCAUGAACU